rnacentral:misc_RNA from 1 species
UCCUAGUUAACCUAGGCAGUCUCACUAGAGUCCCCACCUUACGUGUUGGCAACUAAUGAUAAGGGUUGCGCUCGUUGCGGGACUUAACCCAACACCUCACGGCACGAGCUGACGACAGCCAUGCAGCACCUAUACAACAGUCCUUGCGGAAGAUCACAUUUCUGUGACUGUCCAUUGCAUUUCGAGCCUGGGUAAGGUUCUUCGCGUUGCAUCGAAUUAAACCACAUUCUCCACUGCUUGUGCGGGCCCCCGUCAAUUCUUUUGAGUUUCACUCUUGCGAGCGUACUCCUCAGGCGGUAUACUUAUCGCGUUAGCUUCGACACAACCAGGGUUGAGCCCAGUUAUAUCAAGUAUACAUCGUUUACGGCAAGGACUAC